CACACGUUCAGGAAAGAAUCCAGUUAUGUCGUCCUCUUUUAUAGGCACAGAAUUCAGUGACAACGUAUGUGAGGUUUGCCCUGAUGGAACCUUCUCAGCAACCAACAUGUCACACGCCUGUCAGCCAUGGACCAGAUGUGAAGAGGAAAGGAUGACAGAACAAAAGGCCGGGACAUCCACUUCUGAUGCAGUUUGUGUACAAAGAGACCUUUCUGCCAUAGUGGUGGCAUUGAUAAUUAAUGUGGCUAAAGAAGUGUACUUUUUCUGGUCGAGGAUGAUGAGGAAAUAUUGUGAAACAUCUGCACAGGAGACAGGGG